rnacentral:rRNA from 1 species
AGAUUGAACGCUGGCGGCAGGCCUAACACAUGCAAGUCGAGCGGUAGAGAGGUGCUUGCAUCUCUUGAGAGCGGCGGACGGGUGAGUAAUGCCUAGGAAUCUGCCUAGUGGUGGGGGAUAACGUUCGGAAACGGACGCUAAUGCCGCAUACGUCCUACGGGAGAAAGCGGGGGACCUUCGGGCCUCGCGCCAUUAGAUGAGCCUAGGUCGGAUUAGCUAGUUGGUGAGGUAAUGGCUCACCAAGGCGACGAUCCGUAACUGGUCUGAGAGGAUGAUCAGUCACACUGGAACUGAGACACGGUCCAGACUCCUACGGGAGGCAGCAGUGGGGAAUAUUGGACAA